rnacentral:rRNA from 1 species
GAAGCGAGACCGCGAGGUGGAGCAAAUCCCAGAAAUAACGUCUCAGUUCGGAUUGUAGUCUGCAACUCGACUACAUGAAGCUGGAAUCGCUAGUAAUCGCGAAUCAGAAUGUCGCGGUGAAUACGUUCCCGGGUCUUGUACACACCGCCCGUCACACCAUGGGAGUCAGUAACGCCCGAAGUCAGUGACCCCAACCGAACAGGAGGGAGCUGCCGAAGGUGGGACCGAUAACUGGGGUGAAGUCGUAACAAGGUACC